GGAGAGGUGCGAGAGCGGUUGAAUCGGCACGCCUGGAGAGCGUGUGGCCGCCCACAAGGUGGCUCCUGGGUUCGAAUCCCAGCCUCUCCGCCA
rnacentral:tRNA from 1 species